rnacentral:rRNA from 1 species
UGGGGAAUCUUGCGCAAUGGCCGAAAGGCUGACGCAGCGACGCCGCGUGCGGGAUGACGCUUUUCGGAGUGUAAACCGCUGUCAGGUGGGACGAAGGUCCCGGGGAGGAAAUGCCCUGGGGAUGACGGUACCACCAGAGGAAGCACCGGCUAACUUCGUGCCAGCAGCCGCGGUAAUACGAAGGGUGCGAGCGUUGUUCGGAAUUAUUGGGCGUAAAGCGCACGUAGGCGGCCUUGUAAGUCUCACUGUGAAAGCCCGGGGCUCAACCCCGGGAGGCCAGGGGAUACUGCGAGGCUGGAGACAAGCAGAGGUUGGUAGAAUUCCGGGUGUAGCGGUGGAAUGCGUAGAGAUCCGGAGGAAUACCAGAGGCGAAGGCGGCCAACUGGGCUUGUUCUGACGCUGAGGUGCGAAAGCGUGGGGAGCGA